GUCCCCGUAGUGCAGAGUUUAGCAUGUCCGCUUAUGACGCUGAAUGCCUGGGUUCGAAUCCUGGCGAGAUA
rfam:Stomoxys calcitrans breed 8C7A2A5H3J4 unplaced genomic scaffold Scaffold224, whole genome shotgun sequence.